GCCUGGGUGGCUCAGAGGUUGAGCGUCUGCCUUCAGCUCAGGACGUGAUCCUGCAGUUCUGGGAUCGAGUCCCACAUCAGGCU
rfam:Canis lupus familiaris chromosome 14, whole genome shotgun sequence.